AGCUCCAAAUAUGGCUUUGACAGAUCUGGAGGGACGCAUAUUCUGAAGCCUUGCUGAGAACUUCCUUUGCCAAUGAGGUGAUGAGCUCCAUCAUGGGAUCAGAUGGUGAAGGUCUGGUUCCCAAGGCUUGUGUAGACCGUCCGCAGAUAAGAACAACAACGGGCACAGACCUCAGCUGUUUGCAGAUUUGACAGCAGAGAAUAUUGCUUCCCUUGGUUGGCCCUUUCAUGGGAUUGGAACUGGCGCUGAAGUGGAAGUGAAGAUGUGCACAGUAAUUGGAACUAAGAUAUGACACGUUAUGGGUUUCUGUGAGGAAGUUGUUUCGAAGGAAUCUUCUCCGUGCAAAGGUCAUGCAUCAGGAUCUUUACCUCCUGAGGUGAAUUUUACCUUUAUGUCGAGUACAAGCCAAAUGGACUCUCAUAUCUUACUUCCUUUUGAAUAUUCUUUAAAGAUGUGAUUAGUACGGAGGCCACGGGGAGAAGGCAGGAGAAUGGGGUUUGGAGGGAGAGAUUGAUCAGCCAUGAUUGAAUGGCGGAGUAGACUAGAUGGGCCGAAUGGCCUAAUUCUGAUCUAUAACGUACGAGUGAGGGUUGUCAGUAAGAGGACAUGAAAUGGAGCCUGAUUGAAUAGUGGAGUAACCUGAUGGGCCGAAUGGCCUAAUUCUACUCCUAUCAUUUAUGACAAUGGGUCAAAUGGCCUCUUGCCCACAAUUUUCACGUCCUAUUCUUUUCCUUCAACUGAAACAUUUGCUCUUAUU